rfam:Ovis aries breed Texel chromosome 8, whole genome shotgun sequence.
UCCCUGAUGGCUUAGAGGGUAAAGUGUCCCCCUACAAUGGGGGAGACACGGGUUCAAUCCCUGAGUCGGGAA